CUCCUACGGGAGGCAGCAGUGGGGAAUUUUGGACAAUGGGCGAAAGCCUGAUCCAGCCACGCCGCGUGAGUGAAGAAGGCCUUCGGGUUGUAAAGCUCUUUUAGUCGGAAAGAAAGAGUUGCAAUGAAUAAUUGUGAUUUAUGACGGUACCGACAGAAAAAGCACCGGCUAACUACGUGCCAGCGCCGCGGUAA
rnacentral:rRNA from 1 species